UACGUAGGGCGCAAGCGUUGUCCGGAAUUAUUGGGCGUAAAGAGCUCGUAGGCGGCCUGUUGCGUCCGCUGUGAAAUCCCGGGGCUUAACCCCGGGCGUGCAGUGGAUACGGGCGGGCUGGAGGCAGGCAGGGGAGAACGGAAUUCCUGGUGUAGCGGUGAAAUGCGCAGAUAUCGUAAGGAAGACCAGUGGCGAAGGCGGGUCUCUGGACAGUUCCUGACGCUGAGGCACGAAGGUCAGGGGAGCAAACGGG
rnacentral:rRNA from 1 species